rnacentral:rRNA from 1 species
CUGGCGGCAUGGAUUAGGCAUGCAAGUCGAACGGAUGCAGCAAUGCAUUAGUGGCGAAAGGGUGAGGAACGCGUGAGUAACCUGCCCCAAGUUGGGAAUAACAGUUGGAAACGACUGCUAAUACCUGAUGCGAUGUUUUUUCGGCAGUCGAGAAACAAUUAAAGAUUUAUCGCUUGGGGAUGGGCUCGCGUCCCAUUAGGUAGUUGGUGAGGUAACGGCUCACCAAGCCGACGAUGGGUAGCUGGUCUGAGAGGAUGGUCAGCCACACUGGGACUGAGACACUGCCCAGACUCCUACGGGAGGCUGCAGUCGAGAAUCUUCCGCAAUGCGCGAAAGCGUGACGGAGCAAUGCCGCGUGCCGGAUGAAGGUCUUCGGAUCGUAAACGGCUGUCAGAUGGGACGAAUAAAGUGACGGUACCAUCAAAGGAAGCCACGGCUAACUACGUGCCAGCCGCGGC